rnacentral:rRNA from 1 species
UACGUAGGGGGCAAGCGUUGUCCGGAAUCAUUGGGCGUAAAGAGCGCGUAGGCGGUCCGAUAAGUCGGCUGUGAAAGUCAAGGGCUCAACCCUUGAAAGCCGGCCGAUACUGUCGGACUAGAGUCCGGAAGAGGCGAGUGGAAUUCCCGGUGUAGCGGUGAAAUGCGCAGAUAUCGGGAGGAACACCAAUGGCGAAGGCAGCUCGCUGGGACGUGACUGACGCUGAGACGCGAAAGCGUGGGGAGCAAACAGG